rnacentral:rRNA from 1 species
UACGUAGGGAGCGAGCGUUGUCCGGAUUCAUUGGGCGUAAAGAGCUCGUAGGCGGUUCGGUAAGUCGGGUGUGAAAUCUCCGUGCUCAACACGGAGCGGCCACCUGAUACUGCCGUGACUCGAGUCCGGUAGGGGAGUGUGGAAUUCCCGGUGUAGCGGUGAAAUGCGCAGAUAUCGGGAGGAACACCGAUGGCGAAGGCAGCCUCCUGGGCCAGCACUGACGCUCAUGCACGAAAGCGUGGGGAGCAAACAGG